rnacentral:rRNA from 1 species
UGGGGAAUAUUGCACAAUGGGCGAAAGCCUGAUGCAGCAACGCCGCGUGAGUGAUGAAGGUCUUCGGAUUGUAAAGCUCUGUCUUUUGGGACGAUAAUGACGGUACCAAAGGAGGAAGCCACGGCUAACUACGUGCCAGCAGCCGCGGUAAUACGUAGGUGGCGAGCGUUGUCCGGAUUUACUGGGCGUAAAGGGUGCGUAGGCGGAUGUUUAAGUGAGAUGUGAAAUACCCGGGCUUAACUUGGGUGCUGCAUUUCAAACUGGAUAUCUAGAGUGCAGGAGAGGAGAAUGGAAUUCCUAGUGUAGCGGUGAAAUGCGUAGAGAUUAGGAAGAACACCAGUGGCGAAGGCGAUUCUCUGGACUGUAACUGACGCUGAGGCACGAAAGCGUGGGUAGCAAACAGGAUUAGAUACCCUGGUAGUCCACGCCGUAAACGAUGAGUACUAGGUGUAGGAGGUAUCGACCCCCUUCUGUGCCGCAGUAAACACAUUAAGUACUCCGCCUGGGAAGUACGAUCGCAAGAUUAAAAC